rnacentral:antisense_RNA from 1 species
ACAUUCACAGGAAUUAUGUCCUAGAAGCUUGGCAAUUUUUUUUCCAAAAGCAUUCUUUGUUUUUGUAAAAAUAUCAAUUUGGUAUUAGGAAAUGAAAGACCUAUUUUUUCAGACUUGGCUCUGGGUAGGUCCUCCUAAGCACUCAGUUUGGAGCUGCAUAUGUGAAGGCAGAGCAGGAAUAAAAGGAGAAAAUACUGAGAAGAGUCCAAAAUAUGAUUAAAGAGAUGAAAAAACAAAAUGAAUGGUUGCUCACACCUCUUUCCUAUCCCUACAUAGAAACAAAUAGGAAAAUCAGAGCAACAGAGAGUUUUAGUGAUAAAACA